UGCGUGCCAAACCCUAGAAAUACUACAAAGAUGAAAACAAGGUAAAAAAUCACGUAGAAUAAAAGAAACAAUAUAUUUUUUAAUAAAAACGUGUGGAAUACAGGAAAUAAUAUUUUCCAAUAAAAGCACUUCUAAUAAAGAAAACAAUAUUUUUCAAAAAAUAAAAAAAUCAACCUAAUUUGGGUCAAAAAUCUCAAUAGACUCCACCUUGACCUAAAUUCCAUUGUAACGAAUGAAGUUCCAAAAUUUCUCCACCUGAAAAAAUAAAUUCGACUACAACAAAAAAUUCGAACUUUUCUAUAAGAAUCAAACUUUCUUUAACACAAAAAUACUCUUCCUCUUCUACUGUAUCCAACACGGAUACAUGACCCCAAACAACAUGUUCCCCAAAAUUCACAAAGAAUUAAAAUUACCAAAUAGUGUCGAAGUAUAUUCUGUAGCAGAAUCAACUCUCAAUGCUUUCAUAAAAUGUCCCUGGCUAGUCUCAAUAAAAACGAACAAUAUAAGCCCCUUACAUAGUGACCAACACUUUUUCAAAGAAAAAGCAAGAUGGUCGAUUUAGAAAGCCAAUCAAGGGGAGAUGGAAGAACUUACGAAUCGGGCAAUUAUUCAAAAAAUUGCGCCGCAAGCUAAAGAAUUAAGAAAAUUGCCACAAUGCCAUAUUCCCAUCUUCUAGCUUCAGAUAUUCACAAUACAUAUUUCCCAUGUUGAAGUUAAUAUAUAUAUAUAUAUUUUUUAUGUAUAAGUAACUUUUACAGUUAUAUGUUUUUUAUUACUUUUAAAUAAUUUGAAGUGAUUUUUUUACUUAUAAAUAACUUUUUACAUUCUAGAUAGUGUAUUCUUUUUAUUAAUAUUUAAUUUAAAAAACUAAAUAUAUUUAAAUAUUUAUACUUAAAAAAUUUUGAGUUAAUAUUUUUCUACUUAUAAUUAGCUUUUACAAUUAUAAGAGAAUGAGGGAUUAAUA
rnacentral:lncRNA from 1 species